rnacentral:rRNA from 1 species
UGGGGAAUAUUGGGCAAUGGGCGAAAGCCUGACCCAGCGACGCCGCGUGGGGGAUGAAGGUCUUCGGAUCGUAAACCUCUGUCAGGAGGGGCGAACGUUUCAGGGUUAAUAACCCUGAAAUCUGACGGUACCUCCAAAGGAAGCCCCGGCUAACUCCGUGCCAGCAGCCGCGGUAAUACGGAGGGGGCGAGCGUUAUUCGGAAUUACGUGGCGUAAAGCGCGCGCAGGUGGUGCGAUAAGUGGCAGGUGAAAUCACUCGGCUUAACCGGGGAACGGC